rnacentral:rRNA from 1 species
UUAAGUNUGAUGUGAAAGCCCCCGGCUCAACCGGGGAGGGUCAUUGGAAACUGGGAGACUUGAGUGCAGAAGAGGAGAGUGGAAUUCCAUGUGUAGCGGUGAAAUGCGUAGAUAUAUGGAGGAACACCAGUGGCGAAGGCGGCUCUCUGGUCUGUAACUGACGCUGAGGCUCGAAAGCGUGGGGAGCGAACAGGAUUAGAUACCCUGGUAGUNCACGCCGUAAACGAUGAGUGCUAAGUGUUGGAGGGUNUCCGCCCUUCAGUGCUGCAGCAAACGCAUUAAGCACUCCGCCUGGGGAGUACGACCGCAAGGUUGAAACUCAAAGGAAUUGACGGGGGCCCGCACAAGCGGUGGAGCAUGUGGUUUAAUUCGAAGCAACGCGAAGAACCUUACCAGGUCUUGACAUCCUUUGACCACUCUAGAGAUAGAGCUUCCCCUUCGGGGGCAAAGUGACAGGUGGUGCAUGGUUGUCGUCAGCUCGUGUCGUGAGAUGUUGGGUUAAGUCCCGCAACGAGCGCAACCCUUAUUGUUAGUUGCCAUCAUUUAGUUGGGCACUCUAGCGAGACUGCCGGUGACAAACCGGAGGAAGGUGGGGAUGACGUCAAAUCAUCAUGCCCCUUAUGACCUGGGCUACACACGUGCUACAAUGGGAAGUACAACGAGUUGCGAAGUCGCGAGGCUAAGCUAAUCUCUUAAAGCUUCUCUCAGUUCGGAUUGUAGGCUGCAACUCGCCUACAUGAAGCCGGAAUCGCUAGUAAUCGCGGAUCAGCACGCCGCGGUGAAUACGUUCCCGGGCCUUGUACACACCGCCCGUCACACCACGAGAGUUUGUAACACCCGAAGUCGGUGAGGUAACCUUUUNGGA